CAGCGGCACCGGAGCGGGCCGGGCCGGGCCCGCAGCCCCCCGCAGCAUGGCCGAGCCGCCGGCGGCAGCGCCGGCCCCCGAGGGCGAGGAGGGCCCGGUGCGCUUCGCCCGCAAGGGCGCCCUGCGGCAGAAGAACGUGCACGAGGUGAAGAACCACAAGUUCACGGCGCGGUUCUUCAAGCAGCCCACCUUCUGCAGCCACUGCACCGACUUCAUCUGGGGCUUCGGCAAGCAGGGCUUCCAGUGUCAAGUUUGCUGCUUCGUGGUGCACAAGCGGUGCCAUGAAUUCGUCACCUUCUCCUGCCCCGGGGCUGACAAGGGCCCUGCCUCGGAUGAUCCCCGGAGCAAACACAAAUUUAAAAUCCACACGUACUCCAGCCCCACCUUCUGUGACCACUGCGGGUCGUUGCUGUACGGGCUCAUUCACCAGGGGAUGAAAUGUGACACCUGCAUGAUGAACGUGCACAAGCGCUGCGUGAUGAACGUGCCCAGCCUGUGCGGGACGGACCACACGGAGCGCCGGGGCCGCAUCUACAUCCGGGCCGACAUCGACAAGGACGUGCUCACCGUCGUAGUAAGAGAUGCUAAAAACCUAGUUCCUAUGGACCCUAAUGGCUUGUCAGAUCCCUACGUGAAGCUUAAACUAAUCCCUGACCCCAAAAACGAAAGCAAACAGAAGACCAAAACUAUCAAGUGCUCCCUGAAUCCUGAGUGGAAUGAGACAUUUAAAUUCCAGCUGAAGGAGGCAGACAAAGACAGGCGGUUGUCUGUGGAGAUCUGGGACUGGGAUCUGACCAGCAGGAAUGAUUUCAUGGGCUCCCUGUCCUUCGGGAUCUCUGAGCUGCAGAAGUCAGGAGUGGAUGGAUGGUUCAAGCUGCUCAGCCAGGAGGAGGGCGAGUAUUUCAACGUCCCCGUGCCCCCCGAGGGAGAAGAAGGAAACGAGGAGCUGAGGCAGAAGUUUGAGAGAGCCAAGAUUGGAGCGGGGUCCAAGGCUGCGGACGAGAAGACAAGAAAUGCCAUUUCCAAACUGGACAACAACGGCAGCCGGGACCGCAUGAAGCUCUCGGAUUUCAACUUCCUGAUGGUGCUGGGAAAAGGGAGCUUUGGCAAGGUGAUGCUGGCGGAGAGGAAGGGCACGGACGAGCUGUAUGCUGUGAAGAUCCUGAAGAAGGACGUGGUUAUCCAGGACGAUGACGUGGAGUGCACCAUGGUGGAGAAGCGCGUGCUGGCGCUCUCGGGGAAGCCUCCGUUCCUGACCCAGCUCCACUCCUGCUUCCAGACCAUGGAUCGCUUGUAUUUUGUGAUGGAAUACGUGAAUGGUGGGGACUUGAUGUACCAGAUCCAGCAGGUCGGGAGGUUCAAGGAGCCCCACGCUGUAUUCUACGCAGCAGAAAUAGCCAUUGGGCUCUUCUUCCUGCAGAGCAAAGGCAUCAUUUAUCGAGACCUGAAGCUGGACAAUGUGAUGCUGGACAGCGAGGGGCACAUAAAGAUCGCCGACUUUGGCAUGUGCAAGGAGAACAUCUGGGACGGGGUGACCACCAAGACCUUCUGUGGCACCCCGGACUACAUCGCGCCCGAGAUCAUUGCCUACCAGCCCUACGGGAAGUCGGUGGAUUGGUGGGCCUUCGGAGUCCUGCUCUAUGAGAUGUUGGCUGGCCAGGCCCCCUUUGAGGGAGAAGAUGAAGAUGAGCUCUUCCAGUCCAUCAUGGAGCACAACGUCGCCUACCCCAAGUCCAUGUCCAAGGAGGCAGUGGCCAUCUGCAAAGGGCUGAUGACCAAGCACCCUGCCAAGCGCCUGGGCUGCGGCCCCGAGGGGGAGCGGGACAUCAAGGAGCACGCCUUCUUCCGCUACAUCGACUGGGACAAGCUGGAGCGCAAGGAGAUCCAGCCCCCCUUCAAGCCAAAGGCUUGCGGACGCAAUGCUGAAAACUUCGACCGCUUUUUCACCCGCCACCCGCCCGUGCUAACGCCUCCCGACCAGGAAGUCGUCGGGAACAUUGACCAGUCAGAAUUCGAAGGAUUUUCCUUUGUUAACUCUGAGUUUUUUAAGCCUCAAGCCAAGAGCUAAGUUGCUGUGCGGAUCUCAUCCCUGCGUCUGUCAUCGGUUCCAGCUGCUGUUGUGGUGACACAUUCCACUUGCAUCCAUGGGCUUGCUUUAGUGACCAUAUUUCAAGUGUCUUCCUGGUGUUUGGGGUGUCGCUGGAGGGGAGUGAUGUGCAAGAAAUGCUGCAAAUGGGCUUUUGUAACAUUUUGUUUGUAGAAAAUGGGAACAGCUCAGUGGGUGACAGAACGAAAACGGUGACACGGUGACAGCUGGGAGGAAUCCCUUCGUCAUGUGCUUUAAUUCGUGCUCUUUCCUUUUUCUAGUGUUUUAAAUAAUAUUAAUGUUUAGCCUUCUUAGCCUUCGUGGCAAAGUAAGUGUUUUUAAUGAGACCAUUCCCCAGAGUCUCUCUCCUCCCAAAAGCUCUGGAGAGCCAAGGUGCUGUUCUGGCUCCUUUUCUGGCCGUGUCCUGCUGUGUGUCCAGCCCCACCACAGCUCCCCUUCCCUGCACCAAGGCUUUGGGCCGGCUGGGUCCCCAGCAGUGGGAGAAGUUAUUCAGGAAGGCAGAGCUGCCGUUGGCAAAGAUUUCUCCUGAUUGUGCAGUUUCUAAGUAGCAUUUUUUAAAAUCAAAGCAAACAUCCUGUGGUAAAAGGGAAAUUUGGAAGAGCUGGUUCUGAAUCCAUGGUCAUCCUAGUAAACACCACCAACAUCCAUUCUGUAGUGAAGCUUUUUCUUCUUUUCAAAUGCCAAAGCCAUUGAUGGAGUUUGUUACCUGUGCUUUAAAUGUGUCAAAAAUGGUAUUGACCCAAAGGGGAGAUACUUAACUCUGACCAGUAUUGUGAAUUCUGAUAUGAAGCGUGUAAAGACGCUUGUUUCAACGGAUACUUCUUAAAAAUUGCCCAAGUUUUGUUUCUGGCAUCAAAGGAAACAUUUCAGGAAGGGUGAAUUUCUCUUGAAAGGACAACAAUCACGCUGCUUCCUUUUAUACCCUUGCAGAUGUUCGUGGGCUGUCACUGUAUCAACCUGCUUGAUUUGUAAUGUGCCAAUUAAUUUUUUUUUUUUCUGAUACCGAUUAUAAAAUAAAAGGUGAGAAAACCCGCCCCAGAAACCUGCAUGUGUUUGGCAAUAAUGAGUUUCUGCAGUUCAGCGAGGUGAUUCCUGCCGACAGCCGGGGCUGGAAGCUGCCCCGGCUGCUGGGGGAUGCUGGCUCAAUCGCGGCGGUGGAGCCGCGGCUCCUUCUUGCUCUGCGUUUCUCCCAAAAAAUCCGAGGUGGGAUGUACUGGAAGCAUCAGCCGGGAGGGAGCGACUGCCCGCAGCCUCCUGCAGCAGCCCACGCUGCGCAGCGCCCGCCCGGGCUCCAGCACGGCCAGGGAAGGAGAAGUUUGUGUGGAUGAGGCCGGCAGGAAGGACACAGUGAGGUGAGGACACGGCUGAGGCCGGCAGGAAGGACACAGCGAGGUGAGGACACGGCUGAGGCCGGCAGGAAGGACACACCGAGGUGAGGACACGGCUGAGGCCGGCAGGAAGGACACACCGAGGUGAGGACACGGUGGAGGCUGGCACAGCGCUGGGGAUCUCUGGCAGAGCCUUGAGCAGAGCCGACUGCGGCAUCGCCUCGCACUCCCCGAGCUGCAGAGCCCGGCGUGACUCAUCCAUCCCUGCCCGCUCUCCCAGCAGCACUUGUUAGAAGCGAUUGGCACUUGCAGCUAAAGAGGGAUUACGGGCUCCUGUUCACCUCCCUCCUGCCUCUGGGGAUCUGCCUCUGCCAAGCUCCGCGGGUCCGGGCGCUGCAAGGUUGUUCCGAGAGGUCCCGAACGUCGGCGGGAGCCGAUCCCGGCAGCCCUGGAGCUGUGCCGCGGGGAGGGGGCUCAGGGCAGCGCUCAGGGAGGAUCCCCAUCCCUGGGGCCAGGCAGAAAUGCUGCUCGGGCCAGCCGUACCUGGGCACAGUGCCACGGGCACUGGGGCCACGCCGUGCCACCACCACACCGUGCCACCGGCACACCACCCCGCUGUGCUCCUCGUCACCUCCCAGAGUCAAUUCGCCCAUCGCUGGAGGCACUUUCAGCCCUGAUUGUCCCCUGCGCUCCCCUCUCUCCGUGAGACCCACACAGCCGUUCCCUGCCUGUUCCCGGACUGUUCAUCAUCUUGACAGAGGCCAAAUUGCCACCAGUUCCGGCAGAAUUCAAGCACCCCAAAGCUUUCCUGCUCAGGAGAAGCUCCUGGCUUGGUGGGACAGUGCUGUCCUGGCCCACGUUGGUUUGGAUGGAUGUGGCCUUCAGGAGCCACGUGGUCGUCUCAGAACUCUCCAGGAGCCUGGGGCCACUUUCCACAGAGAGACCCCGAGCACAGCCACGGCCGCUCAGCCCCGGAGCACCUGGGGGACCCUGCUGCCAUCGAGAAAGACAAACGCGACACUUCCAACUUCGACAAAGAGUUCACCCGGCAGCCGGUGGAGCUCACGCCCACGGACAAACUCUUCAUCAUGAA